UACAGAGGGUGCAAGCGUUAAUCGGAGUUACUGGGCGUAAAGGGCGCGUAGGCGGUUGUAUAAGUGAGAUGUGAAAGCCCUGGGCUUAACCUAGGAAUUGCAUCUUAUACUGUAUGACUAGAGUACUGUAGAGGGUAGUGGAAUUUCCGGUGUAGCGGUGAAAUGCGUAGAGAUCGGAAGGAACACCAGUGGCGAAGGCGGCUACCUGGACCAGCACUGACACUGAAGCACGAAAGCGUGGGGAGCAAACAGG
rnacentral:rRNA from 1 species